rnacentral:rRNA from 1 species
CAGUAGCCGCGGUAAUACGUAGGGUGCAAGCGUUAAUCGGAAUUACUGGGCGUAAAGCAUGCGCAGGCGGUUUGUUAAGACAGAUGUGAAAUCCCCGGGCUCAACCUGGGAACUGCAUUUGUGACUGGCAAGCUAGAGUGUGGCAGAGGGGGGUGGAAUUCCGCGUGUAGCAGUGAAAUGCGUAGAUAUGCGGAGGAACACCGAUGGCGAAGGCAGCCCCCUGGGCCAACACUGACGCUCAUGCACGAAAGCGUGGGGAGCAAACAGGAUUAGAUACCCCUGUAGUCCCUGUCUCUUAUAC